CGACGACGGUGCUGGUUCGAAUGAAGUGCAUGAGCUUUAUAUACGGUUUAAUGUUUUAAUCAUAAACAUGAGUACUUUUGUUACUUAAAAAUGUUAUCCUACAAGAGAAUGUUGUAGAUCCAGACUCUAAACUGUCUAAAGAAGAAGAAGGGAGCAGUGAUGAUGACGAGGACUCCGAGGGCUCAGGCGGAGAAGAUGAUGGUUCUGAAGAGGAGGAUGAACCUAAAACCAUAAAGAUAACCAUUGAUGUUCCAUCAGCAACAAAAGCACCUCAAACUCCGGCAAUAGGAUCCAAAACUUUGUUUGUCAACAAUCUAAGUUACUCUGUGGGAGAAAUUGAUAUACUUAUUUUUUUCAAAGAUGCUGGUGAAGUUGUUGAGCUCCGGCUUUCCUUGAGAGAUGGUCGAUUUGUAGGUUAUGCGCAACUCAGAAGAUUUAUUUUAACCUCUUUCUUUAUUAUUUUAGUUAAAUUACUAUUUAUUUUUUCAAACUAAUUGGCAUAAUUCUAUUUGUAGGCCCUUGAACUCAAUAAUGAAUUAUUACUCGACUGUGCUGUGAGACUUGAUUUAGCAAAGGAAAAGGGUGCUUACACUCCUGGAUACUGAUUCUUUCUUAUUAAGAUUUCAUAUCUGAUUAAAAGUUACAGCAUGAAUCGACGAUUAAAAAUUUAUUAUGUUUACUCGACCGUGCUGUGCGACUUGACUUAGCAAAGGAAAAGGGUGCUUACACUCCUGGGUACUGAUUCUUUCUUAGUAAGAUUUCAUAUCUGAUUAAUAGUUACAACAUGAAUCGACGAUUGAACUUUUAUUAUGUA